AACCCAUGGUGUGGGCAUUGGCUCUUCAACACCUUAAACCUCUCCCAAGACUCAGUUAAGGACUCACUUUCCAGUUGUUUAAAGUUUUGAAUUGCCCUUCUCAUCCU
rnacentral:snoRNA from 1 species